GGUGAGUAACACGNGGGUAACCUNCCUGUAAGACNGGGAUAACUCCGGGAAACCGGGGCUAAUACCGGAUGGUUGUUUGAACCGCAUGGUUCAAACAUAAAAGGUGGCUUCGGCUACCACUNACAGAUGGACCCGCGGUGCAUUAGCUAGUUGGUGAGGUAAUGGCUCACCAAGGCAACGAUGCGUAGCCGACCUGAGAGGGUGAUCGGCCACACUGGGACUGAGACACGGCCCAGACUCCUACGGGAGGCAGCAGUAGGGAAUCUUCCGCAAUGGACGAAAGNCUGACGGAGCAACGCCGCGUGAGUGAUGAAGGUUUUCGGAUCGUAAAGCUCUGUUGUCAGGGAAGAACAAGUACCGUUCGAAUAGGGCGGUACCUUGACGGUACCUAACCAGAAAGCCACGGCUAACUACGUGCCAGCAGCCGCGGUAAUACGUAGGUGGCAAGCGUUGUCCGGAAUUAUUGGGCGUAAAGGGCUCGCAGGCGGUUUCUUAAGUCUGAUGUGAAAGCCCCCGGCUCAACCGGGGAGGGUCAUUGGAAACUGGGGAACUUGAGUGCANAAGANGAGAGUGGAAUUCCACGUGUAGCGGUGAAAUGCGUAGAGAUGUGGAGGAACACCAGUGGCGAAGGCGACUCUCUGGUCUGUAACUGACGCUGAGGAGCGAAAGCGUGGGGAGCGAACAGGAUUAGAUACCCUGGUAGUCCACGCC
rnacentral:rRNA from 1 species